UACGGGGGGGGCAAGCGUUGUUCGGAAUUACUGGGCGUAAAGGGCGCGUAGGCGGUUCGUACAGUCAGACGUGAAAUUCCUGGGCUCAACCUGGGGGCUGCGUUUGAUACGUGCGGACUUGAGUGCGGAAGAGGGUCGUGGAAUUCCCAGUGUAGAGGUGAAAUUCGUAGAUAUUGGGAAGAACACCGGUGGCGAAGGCGGCGACCUGGACCAAUACUGACGCUCAGGUGCGAAAGCCAGGGGAGCGAACGGG
rnacentral:rRNA from 1 species